GAUGAACGCUGGCGGCGUGCCUAAUACAUGCAAGUCGAGCGAACGGACGAGAAGCUUGCUUCUCUGAUGUUAGCGGCGGACGGGUGAGUAACACGUGGAUAACCUACCUAUAAGACUGGGAUAACUUCGGGAAACCGGAGCUAAUACCGGAUAAUAUUUUGAACCGCAUGGUUCAAAAGUGAAAGACGGUCUUGCUGUCACUUAUAGAUGGAUCCGCGCUGCAUUAGCUAGUUGGUAAGGUAACGGCUUACCAAGGCAACGAUGCAUAGCCGACCUGAGAGGGUGGUCGGCCACACUGGAACUGGGACACGGUCCAGGCUCCUACGGGAGGCAGGCGUAGGGAAUCUUCCGCAAAGGGCGAAAACCUGACGGAGCAACGCCGCGUGAGUGAUGAAGGUCUUCGGAUCGUAAAACUCUGUUAUUAGGGAAGAACAUAUGUGUAAGUAACUGUGCACAUCUUGACGGUACCUAAUCAGAAAGCCACGGCUAACUACGUG
rnacentral:rRNA from 1 species